AGAGUUUGAUCCUGGCUCAGAUUGAACGCUGGCGGCAUGCCUAACACAUGCAAGUCGAACGCGAAAGAGGGGCAACUCUCGAGUAGAGUGGCGGACGGGUGAGUAAUACGUAGGAAUCUGCCCUAAAGUGGGGGAUAACCCGGGGAAACUCGGGCUAAUACCGCAUAAUCUCUUUGGAGCAAAGCAGGGGACCGCAAGGCCUUGUGCUUUAGGAUGAGCCUACGUCGGAUUAGCUAGUUGGUAGGGUAAAAGCCUACCAAGGCGACGAUCCGUAGCUGGUCUGAGAGGACGAUCAGCCACACUGGAACUGAGACACGGUCCAGACUCCUACGGGAGGCAGCAGUGGGGAAUAUUGGACAAUGGGGGAAACCCUGAUCCAGCAAUGCCGCGUGUGCGAUGAAGGCCUGCGGGUUGUAAAGCACUUUCGGUGGGGAAGAAAUGCUCAAAGAUAAUCUCUUUGAGAGCUGACGUUACCCACAGAAGAAGCACCGGCAAACUCUGUGCCAGCAGCCGCGGUAAUACAGAGGGUGCAAGCGUUAAUCGGAGUUACUGGGCGUAAAGGGCGCGUAGGCGGAUAUUUAAGUCGGAUGUGAAAUCCCUGGGCUUAACCUAGGAAUUGCAUUCGAUACUGAGUACUCUUGAGUAUGGUAGAGGAAAGUGGAAUUCUCGGUGUAGUGGUAAAAUACGUAGAUAUCGAGAAGAACACCGGUGGCGAAGGCGGCUUUCUGGACCAAUACUGACGCUGAGGCGCGAAAGCGUGGGGAGCAAACAGGAUUAGAUACCCUGGUAGUCC
rnacentral:rRNA from 1 species